CAGGUUUCAACCAGCUCCACUGGACAGUAUGGAGAAGUUGUCAGGCUGAACAGGGGAUGAUCAGAAAGAGACUUGAUCUCAGGGAAGAAACCAACUGCUGAAUUGCAUGCAGAUGAAUCCAGAAAAGACAAGACUCCUUCAAACUCCAGAGGGAAGUACUGAUGAGCCUAAUCCUCCACUUGUGGUCUUGGUCAGAUGGGGUAUGGACAAAAGUGUUUGAAAAGGGCUGCAUCAGACAAAUGCAGGUUUUCUACAAAAGCCGAAUCCAGAGUCUCAACUCCCUCCUGUGUACGCAGGCACAGAAUUAUUAGUUGUGAUGGCGGUGCCUGGUUGGGAGAUAGCUCUGCUGCUGGUU